CCUAUAUGAAGUCGGAAUUGCUAGUAAUCGCAGAUCAGCAUGCUGCGGUGAAUACGUUCCCGGGCCUUGUGCACACCGCCCGUCACACCAUGAGAGUCGAUAACACCCGAAGCCUGUAGUCUAACCAUAAGGAGGACGCAGUCGAAGGUGGGAUUGAUAAUUAAGGUGAAGUCGUAACAAGGUACC
rnacentral:rRNA from 1 species